GACGAACGCUGGCGGCGUGCUUAACACAUGCAAGUCGAACGGAAAGGCCCUGCUUUUGUGGGGUGCUCGAGUGGCGAACGGGUGAGUAACACGUGAGUAACCUGCCCUUGACUUUGGGAUAACUUCAGGAAAUUGGGGCUAAUACCGGAAAGGAGCUCCUGCGGCAUGGUGGGGGUUGGAAAUUUUCGGCGGUUGGGGAUGGACUCGCGGCUUAUCAGCUUGUUGGUGGGGUAGUGGCUUACCAAGGCUUUGACGGGUGGCCGGCCUGAGAGGGUGACCGGCCACAUUGGGACUGAGAUACGGCCCAGACUCCUACGGGAGGCAGCAGUGGGGAAUAUUGCACAAUGGGCGGAAGCCUGAUGCAGCAACGCCGCGUGCGGGAUGACGGCCUUCGGGUUGUAAACCGCUUUCGCCUGUGACGAAGCGUGAGUGACGGUAAUGGGUAAAGAAGCACCGGCUAACUACGUG
rnacentral:rRNA from 1 species